CAAGAUUUUUGCUCCGAUUUGAGUCCUUGGACAUCUUUUGAACGCCGACCGCCAUCCUAUUGCCACCGCCCCAUCAUCGUUGGUGAAGAAAAUCUCGAGGUUAUUGAACCCGGGAUCGAGGAUUAGAGCGAAUCUUUCAGAGUUCAUCGUUUAGACCAAGGUGAAAGGUGAAGCAGAAUAUUUUGGUUGGAUUCGGUAGUUUGCCAGAAAG